GGAACCUGCGGAAGGAUCAUUAUCGAGAG
rnacentral:rRNA from 5 species